CUCUUGGUUGGAUGUCCUCUGAAACCUAAGCUAUUACAGAUUCUCAGGGAGAUGAGCCCCCAGCUCUGACAUUAAUCUGUUUAAAGCGCUUUGCAAAGGAGCUCAAUGAUGUCACCCCUGUCUUGCAGAUGAGGACAACAAGGUACCAACAGCUCAGCAGGACCAUCUGCCCUGGAGGAUGCCCCACGCCCACUCAGCAUACAGCUAGUUUUGUAGAACAGUUGCUCUUGCAUGGGCCCUAGAAUUCUCCUAGAGCACUGACAGCCUCUGAAGGAAAAUAAUAGACUAUGGCUACAAAGAUCUCAUUAGACAGGAGUGCUCAGAGUGCUGGAACAUGCACUUUUACUGAUGUUGCCAAUGCCAAGGCAGUGCCUGAAGAUGAUGGAGAAACAAGCCAGAAAAAUACAGGAUGCAUCCAACAAGGGAGCAAGCAAACACCUGGAAUAGUUCAACUUGGCUGCUGUUAUAAAUAUCGAGGAAGAAAUUGUAGGGCCUGCUUGAAGCUGAGGGUCAGAGAUCAAAUGACUGUCGCUUCCCAGCACCUGUUCUUUGCUGUUGGUUACAAGCUGCUCCUGAGAUCUCUCAGUUAACCUGUAUCUGUCGCAUGGUCUGCAAAGGAGCUAAAAGCCAUGAGGGGGGAACUGUGGGAGUUAAGAAUUUUCAAGACAUUUGGAGAAAAGGAGUUAAGGGCAAACAGCAGAGGACAAAAUGGAGUCGGGGGAAGUCUCAGUCUCUUCAAGAAUGGAUGAGCCUUUGGAUUUCCUUAGUACUGUGAGAGCUGUAGCCAUGAUAACUGUGCAGCAGGAAGCUCAUCACCUGUAGAGGAGCCCAAAAUGAUGUUCAUCAUAUCCAAGAGGUUGUUUCAUUUCCAUUUUUCCCUUUUAAGUUAUAAAAUGCAUGCACUGUUCCCGUAACUUCCAUGUUUUGUAGUGUUAAACCUGAAAAACGCAUAAUAUGGCCUACCGAGAAGACAUUAUCAUUGCUUCACCUUUGUUUAAGCACCACAUGGAGGAUGCUGUUCUUUUUCUGUUCCUUGAGGGGGGGGGUAUUGUUUUGCUUUGUUGGGUUUUUUGCUUGACCUGUUCCUGUAUUUUUCUGCCUUAGAUUUUGUCCCCCUGCUCCCCCCCUUUGCUGAAUGUUAACCCAACUAUGUUCAGCGUGACCCUAUAAUACUGAAUUAGGUAAGCAGAAUAGGCAUAAGGAACUUAGUUGUGGGCUGCAUCUGGGCAAGCUGCUUGCACAUGGCCUUGAAACCAACACCAGCUCCUAACACUUGGUUAAGAGCUUCAGGGGAACAUGGGCAAUUAAAGUUACUGUGGCACCACAAGAGUUCCAGCUAAUUAGGCUCCCACCUCAUUGUAAAUAGGCUACUAUUAACAUGGGUGAGGGCUGUGUUUACUGGUUGUGUUUUGUAAGCUGCGUUUCUAAAGCCAUAUCAUUGGAAACAUGGAAAGAUGCUAUAGGGAUCUCACUGCUAAUGAAUGUUGUGACAAAAGAGAACUCUGUUGAUUCUGUUCCCUCCUUCUGGAAAGAUUUAGCAACAAUAAGUUAGAAGAAACUGCAUGUGCUGCCCUCAAAAACCUUGUUGGGCUGGACUCUUGGGCUAAGACUCUACAGGACAGGUUUCUUUGGAAGUGGUUCUCAACCUGAGAUUGCAACCCCAUGUGCACUGUACUUAUUUAAUUCCUUGGCCCUUAUCGCUGUGGUAUGUGAGCACUUCACAAUGAUUAAUAAAUUUAAUUCUCACUACCUGUGAGGUAGAGAAGCUGUUCCCCCUAUUUUACAGAUGGGGAACUAAGACACAGAUUAUAUGAAGUGACAUGCAGUCACACAUCAGGAACUGAACCCAAGUCUCAGGUACUAGUGAAGUGAUUUUCAACCAGAAAGUCAGGAAAAGCAGUCAGAGCUGUCAUGAGGCACUUUGUCUUCUGUUGUAACUGAAAGCAAAGAGAAUUUCAGUUGCCCUCUCCCCACAAAGCUAACUCUUCAUAAUCGAGCUGUCAGCCCUUAGAAACACACAGAUAAAUCACAGUCUUAAAACUGUCA